GAAGCUGUGGGGAAACCAACCGUAUUCUCUUCUCUUCCAUCUGCCAUGGAACCGUUGUGUUCAGGAGCUGGGCGGGAAAGGAAAGAACUUGGAUUUGAACCAUAGCUCUCCUUGAAUAUCUGCUAAUCAGAUACCUUUUACUUGUUCAUGGAUUAGGUAGUUUUCUAGAACUUGUUUCCAAUGGGAAAGGCUGGAAGUUUUAUUUUCUUCUACUUAUAAUCGACUAUUGUUGCUUGAAAUGAACUGGAAAGGGGACAAUUUCAUCUAUGUGCAGUUUAAUGGUUUUGCUUUUGUAGUGAGCAUCAUAGUUCUGGGCCUUCUGGCCAAGUUACUUUUGGAGUUUCCACAUUCUUUUAUUUUAUUUUAUUUAUAUGUACUCUUUGACUUUUUGAAUCUCAUUCUCCAUUGGAACCCUUCCCAACUGGAUUGUCUUAAAGAACAAGUAUCUCUGUAAUUUUCAACCUGCUGUGUUUCAUUUAUGGAAUAUUACAAGUUAGUAGGUUUUUUGUCAAUUACAUUUAAGUUUUAACAGUUGAUAAAGAACAU
rnacentral:lncRNA from 1 species